rnacentral:rRNA from 1 species
UACGUAGGGUGCGAGCGUUAAUCGGAAUUACUGGGCGUAAAGCGUGCGCAGGCGGCUAUUUAAGCUUGCUGUGAAAGCCCCGGGCUUAACCUGGGAACUGCAGUGAGGACUGGAUGGCUGGAGUGUGGCAGAGGGGGGUGGAAUUCCACGUGUAGCAGUGAAAUGCGUAGAGAUGUGGAGGAACACCGAUGGCGAAGGCAGCCCCCUGGGCUAACACUGACGCCUCAGGCACGAAAGCGUGGGGAGCAAACAGG